UUUCAUUUCUGUGUCCAGAAACCCCAGAGGCAACCUUAUAUACAUGUUGCCAAAGGAUGCCUAGGAGUCCUAAGAUUCUGUCUGCGGAUUCAGGAAUUUAAACUGACCCUGGCUCUCUCUGGAUGAGGCUGUGUCCCCAAGGUUCCUGCCUAAUCCUUGCUCUGUGGUUCUUUUCCCCUGGUCUCCUGGCUCAUGAAACAAGGCCUGCACAGACCUUGGCUUUGGACUCACCAACUGGCACACCCCACCCCACAAGCCUUCAGCAAAGUCAGAGAGGCGCCUUUCAUGGCUUCAAAAGUUCCACCAGGUUCUCCAGCCGCAGGGGGCUGGAGUGGGUAACUGAAUCCUACUCAAGGCAGAAAAAAAGCGCACAGUGACCUUUUGUCCCAAAAGUUCCCGGCUUUCCCCGGCCAGCCAGCCAGCGGAGGCGGCCCAGCCAGCCAGGAGCGUAAGGAAUUGCAGAUGUGCGCCCAGGGCGGCCGCCUCCCUUAUGCUCCCAAAGCCCGGCUGGACACCUCGGCGUCGCCCGGGGCUGCGCCGCUAUCCGGUCCAGGGCUCCCGCUCCUAGCUUUGGGCUAAGGCUUCGGGGGACAGGAGAUUCGUUUUGCGUCGCAAGCAAGACGGGCAAACCCUUCCGAGCGCACCAGGAACUGUUUGGGACGCCCCGGGGCGGGCUACUGACACCGCACAGAAGGCAAGCUGGACAGCCCCGGAAACCGCCCCAUAAUGGAGAUGCGCUGGCAGACCCGUCUGGCAAGCAGUGAGCCUGCAUCCAAGCCAGGGGCUCCACCGCCCCACUGUGACCUGGAGCCUCGGUUCGACCCUGCGAUGAGUCACGAGCCUGGCUUUCCCCCGCCCUAGUUCCCGACUGUCUCCUCCUCCUCCCCACUGCUCUCCAGGCCCCGCAUCUCUUGAGGAAGGUCACGAGAUCUGGCCCAAUAUUUGCUCACUUUGAAGCCAUCUGUGCGUGUAUGGUUUAACUUAAAAAAUAAAAUAAAACCUUGAAAUCUAAA